GAUGAACGCUAGCGGGAGGCCUAACACAUGCAAGCCGAGCGGUAUUGUUUCUUCGGAAAUGAGAGAGCGGCGUACGGGUGCGUAACACGUGUGCAACCUGCCUUUAUCUGGGGGAUAGCCUUUCGAAAGGAAGAUUAAUACUCCAUAAUAUAAUGAACGGCAUCGUUUAAUAUUGAAAGCUCCGGCGGAUAGAGAUGGGCACGCGCAAGAUUAGCUAGUUGGUGAGGUAACGGCUCACCAAGGCGAUGAUCUUUAGGGGGCCUGAGAGGGUGAUCCCCCACACUGGUACUGAGACACGGACCAGACUCCUACGGGAGGCAGCAGUGAGGAAUAUUGGUCAAUGGGUGCAAGCCUGAACCAGCCAUCCCGCGUGAAGGACGACUGCCCUAUGGGUGGUAAACUUCUUUUGUAUAGGGAUAAACCUACCCUCGAGAGGGUAGCUGAAGGUACUAUACGAAUAAGCACCGGCUAACUCCGUG
rnacentral:rRNA from 1 species